rnacentral:rRNA from 1 species
CCUACGGGUGGCUGCAGUGAGGAAUAUUGGUCAAUGGACGAGAGUCUGAACCAGCCAAGUAGCGUGAAGGAUGACUGCCCUACGGGUUGUAAACUUCUUUUAUAUUGGAAUAAAAUGUUCCACGUGUGGCAUUUUGUAUGUACUUUCUGAAUAAGGAUCGGCUAACUCCGUGACAGCAGCCGCGGUAAUACGGAGGAUCCGAGCGUUAUCCGGAUUUAUUGGGUUUAAAGGGAGCGUAGGUGGAUUGUUAAGUCAGUUGUGAAAGUUUGCGGCUCAACCGUAAAAUUGCAGUUGAAACUGGCAGUCUUGAGUACAGUAGAGGUAGGCGGAAUUCGUGGUGUAGCGGUGAAAUGCUUAGAUAUCACGAAGAACUCCGAUUGCGAAGGCAGCUCACUAAACUGCAACUGACACUGAGGCUCGAAAGUGUGGGUAUCAAACAGGAUUAGAUACCCUUGUAGUC